rnacentral:miRNA from 1 species
GCAGACACAUUCCAGCCAAUCAGCAGCAGACCCUCCCUCCCAGACCCUCCCACCUCCUGGACAGCAUCCAUUUUACAUUCAUUGUGAAGCUGCAUUCUUAGUGCGCUGUCCAGGAGGUGGGAGGGUCUGGGAGGGAGGGUCUGCUGCUGAUUGGCUGGAAUGUGUCUG